ensembl:lncRNA
GCUCUUCUCAGAGCUUGGGCUCUUCCCAGGGCACUGCUCAGGCUCCUGGGAAGCCCCUGAUGCAGCACUGCAAAAGGAUGGGCAGUGGAGGGGGAGAGGGAGAGAUGGGUGGAGGGAUGGAAGGAUGUAUAGGUUGAGGGAGGGAGGGAGGGAUGGAUGUGUGGGUGGAGGGAUUGAUGGACGGAGGGAUGGAUGGAUAGAGGGAGGGAGGGGUGGAAGGAUGGAUGGGGGAUGGAGCCAAUGGCCUCAUGCAUCUCCUCUGGACUGUGCUCCCCACACCACACAUCCCUGCCCACCUCUGCAGUUCUGGCAUUUUGUUUUCAAACCCACCAUUGUCCUCAAGCUGUUCUCAUUGAAACUGAUGUUUCGCAGCUCACCUUUAAAACAAAGCCCCAGUUGAUCUCAAGGGAAGAGAAUAUCAAACAGGUUUUUUUUUUCUCUUUCCCUUUGCCAGCCCAGCGCUGGUUUGUUCACAUGCUCACAUCCCUGCAAAGAAAUAAAUAGGCAGAGCCGUGCCGUGAUGCAGUGGCACGAAAAACAGGAAAACAAAACAAAGCCAAAUGAAGAUGCCUCCUCCUGCUGAGCUCCCCAGGGCCAUCCCUGGAACACGGUGUGCCAACAGCCAGGGCUGGGAUCUGCUUGCAGCAGGGAUCUGCUCCACCCCAUCACACGGUGCCAAACACCCGCAUAUGUUUUGCUGGACUCCGAGUUGUACCUCGGUGCUAUAACCACAGUUCUAAUGAAGGUGCUUCUGAAGCAGAAUUACCCAAGCAGCUGUUCUUGUGUGAGGUCUGGACACGGGAAAAAUUGCCUUUGAGGAGCCAAAUCCCUGCAGCCGGGCUGGGUGCUGUGAGUAACCCAACCACAUCAGGGGACCCCUGAAACACACCGGCACGCGGGAAGAGGGUCAGGCCCCACGCUGCAGCCACCUGCAUCACGAGCUCACGGGCACAGUGAUGGCUGCCCUUCAUCCCAUGUGCUCAGCCCCGCGCCUCCGCGGGCAGCGGGAGGAAAGGGUUAAGGAGCUGCCAGCGGGGAUGAGGCGAGGGAAUUCAGCUGCUGACGCAGCAGCUCAGGCAGUAAAAAGACUCAGAACGAGGACUGCUCAAACGGGUGGCAUGGGAAGAAACGGGCGGCCGAGACGUGGUGCUGUCAGGGAUGUUCUCCUGCAUGGCGUGGGAUGGCUGAGCACGGCACAGCGUGGCACAGCACGGCACGGCAUGGCAUUGCCAUCGCAUGGGGUGGCAGAGGGGUGGCCCGCCGGCAGCAGCCAGCUUGCACACGGCUCUGCUGAGCCACCGCUGUCAGAGAACAGAGGCUGCUGUGGCAUUGGAACAUUGGCUCUGGAGCUCCUGAGAGCGGCCUGAGCAUGGGUUGCUCCCACCUUGCUGCCCCCAGAGCCGGUUACCAAGCCAGGCCCUAUGGAAUACAAUAGAAUAAUCGAUGGUCCAUUGUUGCUGGGCUUAAUUUAGCCAUUCAGGCGGGGAAGGAACAAUGUGAGCGUACGUAAGCAGGAGAAAAAGCAGCAGAUGAAUCAGCCCCGAGCCCUCUGUGUGCAGGGGCUGAGCGAGGCAGGCAGACGGACGCAUCUGCAGCAGUGCAGGUAAUGGGGAUGUACUUCGCUUUGUGCAAUGCCAGGUCUAAAAUGGCUGCAGCUGUGCUUGGUGUUAAGCAGCGGCACGGCCACGAAUCCCUCUCAAGCUGACCCAGCAGCCCGGAUGGAGCUCUGGGGGGACACAGCCUGGGAGGGGCAGCCCCACAGCCACGCCACGAGCGGGGCACCGUCCCAGGACACCCCCAGCAUGCGCUCAGCCCGACCCGAAAGGUCCCAUAAAUGGCACCGUGGAGUGCCCCAGCACCCAUCCGCCCCACAGCCCAGCUCAGAGCCCACGUCCCUCCCACUGCCCUGCUGCUCACCGUGCCCACCCCGCGCCGGGGAUCGCUGUUUGCCUUUGCAUUCCUGUGGGUUGGCUCACACCGCGCCCCGGGCAGCGGCGGGCGGCACAUUCGGGCUUUCCUGUCAGUUAGUCACUGCACUCCGAUCUGUUAUCUGCUUAUCUCUGUUGUUCUCUCCGGGCUUUGGUGAGCAUUUCAAUCCCUG